rnacentral:pre_miRNA from 1 species
AUAGGUAUUCUCAAACAAUUGCAUUAUCUUAUAAAUUGUUAUUGCUUGAGAAUGCACAU